rnacentral:rRNA from 1 species
ACGAACGCUGGCGGCGUGCCUAAUACAUGCAAGUAGAACGCACAGUUUAUACCGUAGCUUGCUACACCCUAGACUGUGAGUUGCGAACGGGUGAGUAACGCGUAGGUAACCUGCCUGGUAGCGGGGGAUAACUAUUGGAAACGAUAGCUAAUACCGCAUAAUAUUAAUUAUUGCAUGAUAAUUAAUUGAAAGGUGCAAUUGCACCACUACCAGAUGGACCCGCGUUGUAUUAGCUAGUAGGUGAGGUAACGGCUCACCUAGGCGACGAUACAUAGCCGACCUGAGAGGGUGAUCGGCCACACUGGGACUGAGACACGGCCCAGACUCCUACGGGAGGCAGCAGUAGGGAAUCUUCGGCAAUGGACGAAAGUCUGACCGAGCAACGCCGCGUGAGUGAAGAAGGUUUUCGGAUCGUAAAGCUCUGUUGUAAGAGAAGAACGGGUGUGAGAGUGGAAAGUUCACACUGUGACGGUAUCUUACCAGAAAGGGACGGCUAACUACGUG